rnacentral:snRNA from 1 species
GGAUGUGAGGGCAAACUGGCUGUGACAUCUGUCACCCCAUUGAUCUCCAGGGUUGGUUCGGCUGAUCUGGCUAGCUAGGAGGGUAUCCACUCCCUCCUUCACCUCUCCAUGUGUGUCCCUCCCGAAGCUGGGAUUGAGCUGGGGAAUGGAGCCCACAGUAGAUUUUUUUGGAGACAUGCACACAA